UACGUAGGGUGCGAGCGUUUAAUCGGAAUUACUGGGCGUAAAGCGUGCGCAGGCGGUGAGCUGUGUCCGAUGUGAAAGCCCUGGGCUCAACCUGGGAAUUGCAUUGGAUACUGGCAGGCUAGAGUGCGGUAGAGGGUAGUGGAAUUCCCGGUGUAGCAGUGAAAUGCGUAGAGAUCGGGAGGAACAUCUGUGGCGAAGGCGACUACCUGGGCCAGCACUGACACUGAGGCACGAAAGCGUGGGGAUCAAACAGG
rnacentral:rRNA from 1 species